AUUGAACSCUGGCGGCAGSCUUAACACAUGCAAGUCGAACGGUAGCAGGAAGAAAGCUUGCUUUCUUUGCUGACGAGUGGCGGACGGGUGAGUAAUGCUUGGGAAUCUGGCUUAUGGAGGGGGAUAACUGUGGGAAACUGCAGCUAAUACCGCGUAAUCUCUGAGGAGUAAAGGGUGGGACCUCUUGGCCACCUGCCAUAAGAUGAGCCCAAGUGGGAUUAGGUAGUUGGUGGGGUAAAGGCCUACCAAGCCUGCGAUCUCUAGCUGGUCUGAGAGGAUGACCAGCCACACUGGAACUGAGACACGGUCCAGACUCCUACGGGAGGCAGCAGUGGGGAAUAUUGCGCAAUGGGGGGAACCCUGACGCAGCCAUGCCGCGUGAAUGAAGAAGGCCUUCGGGUUGUAAAGUUCUUUCGGUAAUGAGGAAGGGAUGUUAUUAAAUAGAUGGCAUCAUUGACGUUAAUUACAGAAGAAGCACCGGCUAACUCC
rnacentral:rRNA from 1 species